rnacentral:lncRNA from 1 species
CACAUUUGCAGUUCCUGGCACCCCAAUCCCCUGCUGUCAGGAUUGUAAAUGAUGCCACUUUUCAACAAGCAGCGAUCCAGUAAGGGGAUUAGAGGCAUGAAUUUUAACUGACAAAAAAAUGAAUUUGAAGAAUACAGUGAUUUUGUUUCUUGAAGGUGAUGACAGGGGAGUUUAAGGAGCACACAAAAGAUUAGCAUUAUCUCCUCAGCAGAAUGUGACAAAACAUUACUGGGUUAUGUGAAACAUUUCCAAGAUGAAUUGAAGACCAAGCUGAACAGAGAAAGAUGGGCAGACACUACACUGCUGGCUUUGAAUAUGAAGGAAGGGCCCACAGAUCAAGGAAUGUAGGUGAAUUAUAGAAGCUGGAAAAGGCAAUGGGAUGGAUUCCUCCCUACAGUCCCCAGAAGGAAUAGAGCCCUGCUGACAUUUUGACUGUAGCCCAGUGAAAUCUAUUUUGUAUUUCUGACCUCCAGACCUAUGAGAUAAUAAAUAUCUGUUGUCUUAA